UGGGGAAUAUUGCACAAUGGGCGCAAGCCUGAUGCAGCCAUGCCGCGUGUGUGAAGAAGGCCUUCGGGUUGUAGAGCACUUUCAGCGGGGAGGAAGGCGUUAAGGUUAAUAACCUUGGCGAUUGACGUUACCCGCAGAAGAAGCACCGGCUAACUCCGUGCCAGCAGCCGCGGUAAUACGGAGGGUGCAAGCGUUAAUCGGAAUUACUGGGCGUAAAGCGCACGCAGGCGGUCUGUCAAGUCGGAUGUGAAAUCCCCGGGCUCAACCUGGGAACUGCAUUCGAAACUGGCAGGCUAGAGUCUUGUAGAGGGGGGUAGAAUUCCAGGUGUAGCGGUGAAAUGCGUAGAGAUCUGGAGGAAUACCGGUGGCGAAGGCGGCCCCCUGGACAAAGACUGACGCUCAGGUGCGAAAGCGUGGGGAGCAAACAGG
rnacentral:rRNA from 1 species